UCCAGACUCCUACGGGAGGCAGCAGUGAGGAAUAUUGGUCAAUGGUCGGGAGACUGAACCAGCCAAGCCGCGUGAGGGAGGAAGGUACAGAGUAUCGUAAACCUCUUUUGUCAGGGAACAAAGACUGGGACGCGUCCCCGGAUGAGUGUACCUGAAGAAAAAGCAUCGGCUAACUCCGUGCCAGCAGCCGCGGUAAUACGGAGGAUGCGAGCGUUAUCCGGAUUUAUUGGGUUUAAAGGGUGCGUAGGCGGGACCUUAAGUCAGCGGUAAAAUUGCGGUGCUCAACGCCGUAGGGCCGUUGAAACUGGGGUUCUUGAGUGAGCGAGAAGUAUGCGGAAUGCGUGGUGUAGCGGUGAAAUGCAUAGAUAUCACGCAGAACCCCGAUUGCGAAGGCAGCAUACCGGCGCUCAACUGACGCUGAGGCACGAAAGUGCGGGUAUCGAACAGGAUUAGAUACCCCCGUA
rnacentral:rRNA from 1 species